CCUACGGGGGGCAGCAGUGGGGAAUAUUGCACAAUGGGCGCAAGCCUGAUGCAGCCAUGCCGCGUGUGUGAAGUAGGCCUUCGGGUUGUAAAGCACUUUCAGCGGGGAGGAAGGCGUUAAGGUUAAUAACCUUGUCGAUUGACGUUACCCGCAGAAGAAGCACCGGCUAACUCCGUGCCAGCAGCCGCGGUAAUACGGAGGGUGCAAGCGUUAAUCGGAAUUACUGGGCGUAAAGCGCACGCAGGCGGUCUGUCAAGUCGGAUGUGAAAUCCCCGGGCUCAACCUGGGAACUGCAUUCGAAACUGGCAGGCUAGAGUCGUGUAGAGGGGGGUAGAAUUCCAGGUGUAGCGGUGAAAUGCGUAGAGAUCUGGAGGAAUACCGGGGGCGAAGGCGGCCCCCUGGACAAAGACUGACGCUCAGGUGCGAAAGCGUGGGGAGCAAACAGGAUUAGAUACCCUUGUAGUC
rnacentral:rRNA from 1 species